CCCUUAGAUGUUCUGGGCAGCACGCGCGCUACAACGGUCUUCGCAAACGGAUGCAUUCUCGAAGGAGAAUGCCAAUCUUGGAAUCUAUGCCUUGGUCGGGACAGUUGCUUGCAAUUUUUCGACUCGAACCAGGAAUUCCUUGUAAUCGUGAUUCAUCACAUCACGAUGAAUACGUCCCUGCCCUUUGUACACACCGCCCGUCGCUCCUACCGAUCGAAGAGUUAGGUGAAUUGUUUUGAUCGAUAAGAUUUGACUAUGGUCAACUCUCGUUGGGAAAUUCUGUGAAUCUGACUGUUUAGAGGAAGGAAAAGUCGUAACA
rnacentral:rRNA from 1 species